GCAGAUGUCGUCACGGUCACCAUGUGGCAGCAACGGCCAUUUCGUGGCUAAGAAAGAGCCCCGGUGCCUGGCAACAAAGAGUACCCCUGGCUCAGGCUCUCUACACAUUAAUUCCACAGGGGCUGAACCUGGGACAUCCGAGCACCGCGGCCUCCUUCGCCCUUCGAUUGUUUUGCUGGUACUUGCCGGAUGUUGCUUUGACUGAGGUCUGGCAGAGCCCCCAGGGCAUCUUAUAAGCCACUCCUCACCUGAUCAGACCCACUGGGCCAGGACCUCAGGAUGCUUCCCAAGGCUGGAUCUCCUAUCUCUACCAGUGGGACAACUGACUGGAACCUGGAAUUCAGUGCCGUCCUUCACACCAUCAGGAGGAGAAUGAUCUAUGAUUGGCUGGUGAGCACAUGCGUGUGAGAUCAAGGCUUGAAUACAUGAGUGCUGUGGUGGUUCAAAUAUGCUUGGCCCAGGGGAAGUGGCACUAUUAGGAGGUGUGGCCUUGUUGGAGUAGGUCAAGAUGUAGAACUCUCAGCUCCUUCUCCAGCACCAAGUCUGCCUGGACACUGCCAUGCUUCCUGCCAUGAUGAUAAAGGACUGAACCUCUGACACUGUAAGCCAGCCCCGAUUAAAUGUUGUCCUUCAUAA